GAGAGAGGAGAAAGAGAGAGAGAGCGACUUACUUCUCAAAGGACAGAAAACCUAAGAUCAUGAUGAAGUGCUUAAGAAAGUGAUGUAAUACUGAAAAGAAAAGUGUGUAUAAGUGAAAAAGAAGAAAAGAGGAACGAAAGGAGGAGGACCUAAGAAGCGAUACAAAGCGUCACAGGUCAAAAAGAAGAAGAAGAAGCGGGAGGGCGGCGGCGAGAGGUGAGCAGCCUAGGAUUGCAUUGAUCAGCCUGCCCAGAUAUUGUCUCUUGGGGUCCCAUCAAGUUACUGGUUUCACCGCUGGGAAGGGCAUUUCUCCAACCAAGCAAGUGCAGAUGGCUUGCAACACCUGAUUUUGACCUUUGCAUCUGAAAGUAUCAACAGAUCUUAUAAUGAAUAUUUCAGCCCCAAGGCAACCCAUCUUGUCUCCAAG